rnacentral:lncRNA from 1 species
AAAGUCUUGAAGUUGGUUUUUGACUAUUGAAAUUUAAUAGUUUAGUUAUCAAAUACACCUUAAAUUGAAAUAGUACAUAGAUGAUAAUGGUUUGGCAGAAUGUCUCGACAAUAAUUAUAAUUAUAAACUAAUUUGAAUAUUUCUAGCAUUAGUUAGUCUCAUAGGUUCCUUAUGUUUAAAUAAAUUUAUAAAAGUUAAUUUAAACUCAAAUUUAGCUUAGUUUAAUGUAACCAAAUUAAAUGAUACGGACUUCCAUGAUGUCUAGUUGAACUCCAUAAUUUACUAAUUUAAUGGUCUAUUAUUCAUUGACUCGGAUGUUAAUAUCGAAUAACUCAAGAAAGGAAUUACUUUCAAAAACUGUAUGGUUAUAAGCUUGACUUUGGAUGUUAUUACAACAAGUAGUGUGAUAAUUGGAAGGUGUAUGGGUUAUAAGCUUGACUUUGGAUGUUAUUACAACAAGUAGUGUGAUAAUUGGAAGGUGUAUGGGUUAUAAGCUUGACUUUGGAUGUUAUUACAACGAGUAGUAUGAUAAUUGGAAGGAGUGAUUAUGAAAUUCUGUGAAUGAGUUCCUAUAUAUAAAUAUGAUUAUUAUUAUUAUUAUUAUUAUUAUUAUUAUUAUUAUUAUUAUUAUUAUUAUUAUUAUUAUUAUUAUUAUUAUUAUUAUUAUUAUUAUUAUUAUUAUUAUUAUUAUUAUUAUUAUUAUUAUUAUUAUUAUUAUUAUUAUUAUUAUUAUUUAUGAGGGUAUUGAAAGCUUAAUUAAUACUGAUAUUGAUGUUGAUGUCGAUAUCGAAGAUUGUUGGGAUGAUGUAUUGUUGGUAAAUGGAGGAUGGGAACUAUAUAGUUGAUUCGCCCGAAGAAUAGGCUGUUUGAACUGAAUGAAUAGAAAUAUUGAAUAAUUGAUAAUGUUAGAAUAAGUAGAUUAUCCAAAUUAUAAAGGAGAUGCUGCUGAAUUUUCGGCAAAACAGCUAUCAGAAUCUAGAGCUAAUUAAGUAAAUAAAUGACACUAAAUAUCAUUGUUAUGUUUAUGUUGAUGUUGAUAUCGAAGAUUGUUGGGAUGAUGUAUUGUUGGUAAAUGGAGGAUGGGAACUAUAUAGUUGAUUCGCCCGAAGAAUGAGCUGUGUGAACUGAAUGAAUAGAAAUAUUGAAUAAUUGAUCAUGUUAGAACAAGUAGAUUAUCCAAAUUAUAAAGGAGCUGUUGAAUUUUCAGCAAAACAGCUAUAAGAAUCCAGAGCUAAUUAAGUAAAUAAAUGACACUAAAUAUCAUUAUUAUGUUUAUUAUUAUUAAUGCUAUUGUUAGGUGUCGAUAUUGAUCUAGAAUCAUAAUACUAAGUUAAAAUAAACUAAGAAAUAAGAACAAUAAACGUAAGUUAGAAUUUGUGAGUAAUAAGAG